UACGGAGGGGACUAGCGUUGUUCGGAAUUACUGGGCGCAAAGCGCACGUAGGCGGAUUUGUAAGUCAGGGGUGAAAUCCCGGGGCUCAACCUCGGAACUGCCUUUGAUACUGCAAAUCUCGAGUCCGGAAGAGGUGAGUGGAAUUCCUAGUGUAGAGGUGAAAUUCGUAGAUAUUAGGAAGAACACCAGUGGCGAAGGCGGCUCACUGGCCCGGUACUGACGCUGAGGCGCGAAAGCGUGGGGAGCAAACAGG
rnacentral:rRNA from 1 species